UCUCUCUCUCUCUCUCUCUCCUGCCAACUUCAGAGAUGUUUCUAUGUUCUAGUGGAAAGGUCGGAUGAUUUGGUGGAGUUACUUUAUAAGAUUUGAAUAUCCAUUGAAUAUAAAAUUUAAAUUAUAUGACGUGUAAAAUAACUUUUAGACUAAAUAUUUUAAAGCGGCUGUAAAAUUCUGAGCUUUAUCUGGUGACAUCUGUCAAUCCUGAGCUUUUUCUUGUGGCUUUCGUAAAAUUAUCAACUUGACUGGUCGUUUCUUCCUUGACUGGACAUUAAAGCGAGAUUUUUAGUUUGGGUUCAAGGAUAAUAAAUUUGGGGUGAGGCUACGCUUGUAUUUUUGGUUUUGUAGAAGGUGGAGGUUAAGGGAAUGUAUGUGAUGCUGCCCUCAAUUUUGAAGAGAGAAUUGCUUGUUUCAAUGGCUCAAGCACAUGCUAUUGCUUGGGCGUGUUUUGAUUAUGAUGUGUUGAUGUGAACUUUGCUUUGUCUAUGUGUAGGUACCAUUGAAGUAUAUGGUUG
rnacentral:misc_RNA from 1 species